rnacentral:rRNA from 1 species
GCUCAACCGAGGAAGUGCUUCGAAAACUGGUAAACUUGAGUGCAGAAAAGGAAAGUGGAACUCCAUGUGUAGCGGUGGAAUGCGUAGAUAUAUGGAAGAACACCAGUGGCGAAGGCGGCUUUCUGGUCUGUAACUGACGCUGAGAUUCGAAAGCAUGGGUAGCAAACAGGAUUAGAUACCCUGGUAGUCCAUGCCGUAAACGAUGAAUGCUAAGUGUUGGAGGGUUUCCGCCCUUCAGUGCUGCAGCUAACGCAUUAAGCAUUCCGCCUGGGGAGUACGACCGCAAGAUUGAAACUCAAAGGAAUUGACGGGGGCCCGCACAAGCGGUGGAGCAUGUGGUUUAAUUCGAAGCUACGCGAAGAACCUUACCAGGUCUUGACAUACCAUGAAAAGCUUAGAGAUAAGUCUUUCCCUUCGGGGACAUGGAUACAGGUGGUGCAUGGUUGUCGUCAGCUCGUGUCGUGAGAUGUUGGGUUAAGUCCCGCAACGAGCACAACCCUUAUUAUCAGUUGCCAGCAUUCAGUUGGGCACUCUGGUGAGACUGCCGGUGAUAAACCGGAGGAAGGUGGGGAUGACGUCAAAUCAUCAUGCCCCUUAUGACCUGGGCUACACACGUGCUACAAUGGUCGAUACAACG